UUAAUAGAAAUAUUAAUUCUCUUUCCUACUCAUUUCUUCAUCUUUGUGUUCAUUUCGUUAGUCAUAUCUAGUUUUUCUUCUUCUUCUUCUUUAUUAUUUCAAGUCACUAUUUUCCCAGUCAACUUUUUUAAAGAGUCCGUUCUCUAUGCUGAAAAUCUCCUCCCAUGACUUCCCCCCGGAUCAACCAGCGCACACGGAGAGUUCCAAUCACAUGGUUCACCAAUCAAUCCUCAUCUAUACACACGCUGCUGCUCACAGGAAUAUCUCGCUUUGUAUAUAUGUAGGUGUGUGCUAUCUCGAGACGACAACCUUUUUGCCUAAUGGACUUUUAUCGCGGAUUGUUUUUUUGUUCUUGUUUUCUUCACACUUUUUAUUGUAUUUUCUGAUUGAUGUCUUACAUAUAUGUAUUUCUGUUUGUCAAAAAGUAUUGGAAUAAAUAUUUGUUUAAUCUGAUUAUAUGAUUUUGCUCUUUCUUUGAGAAUGUUGAGAAUGGGAUUAUUACACAAGCUUUUCUUUCUGUGCUAAUGUGCUUCAUCAUAAUCCCCCUUAUUCUACGCCGUGAGUGACGUGAGAUAGCAAAGUUCCUCGCUUCAUUGUGGAAGCUACAUCACUUUUCAACUUCUUUUUGAUACCCGAGUCGAUAACAUAUGAGGACACGACUUCAAAUCUCACCCAGUGACAAACUAUAGUCAUGCCAUUCGCCUACGGGAAUGCAGUAACUUGAGCCAUCUCACCUCAUUCGCCGCGCGGAAUAAAGUAGAAUGAUAGCGAAUUAAAUCGUCUCGUUAAGAAAGGAAAUUGACGAAAAGUUCGUUCAACCAACCAAAGUACGCAGCCACUUGGUCACAGUAACAAAUUGUAUGCAAGCGUGUUCUUGCAUAGAACAAGCCGGUCCCGGAAAGAAUGGGGACGGAUAAAUAAUUUAAAUCACGACUCUCGCGCGUACGGUUUCCCAUCAUCAAUUAGCGGUUCGAAUUUUGCUGAUCUAAAAUGAUUUCUCUACAAACACAUCCAUUCGUUCCGUUUCAUUUAUGCCCAAGUGUGUCUGUGUGUAUGUUUUGGGGAUUAGUGCUCUCAAUGUGCAUUUUCAUCACUUUUAAAUAACAUUUGUUGAAUGGGUUUUUUGUUGUUGUUUUUGUUUUGCUUCUCUACAUACAUAGUUUUUAACAUAUUAGAAUACUAGGUUUCCUCAUUUAAUUGUUUCUAUUUUCUCUUGUUUUAAAGUCAUAGCGACAAUGCACUGAACGUUUUUGCUUCUUGCGAAAUUAGUCAAACUAAAUUUAUUCUCCUUUGCUUUUAUUAUUUAUUGUUUUGUCUGGUAAAUGUGUUUUUUAUUUUUUAUUUCUCCCGGAGCUUAUUUGAUUUACCCCAGAAUUACAUUCAGAGCUAAUUGGAGCUUGUCAUUGUAAUAAUUCAAUAAUUAUAAUAAUAGUCAAUCGAUUGUUUUUUUUUGUUUGAUUUUCAUUUAUCAACAUUGAUAUAAUAUAUAGAAUAAUAUAUUACUUUGCUUUAAUUUCAAUCCUUCUUAUUAGUUUUUUACUCACUUUCCUCGUAUUCUCUUUUCCAGCAUUCGGUCAUUUCGGAUGAUAAUGUUUAGAAUCGAUAACGGGUUGUCUCGUAAAAUUUCACCAGUUUACAGCAGUUGAUGUCUUAGUUCUACGCGUUGUUUUACUUAUUUUUACACUACUGACUUUUUUCUGUGAAUCACCCUUUCUUUCUUCCACGAAAUAGCACCUGCCGACGUCGAAGGCAUUACCGUAUCAAAAAAGUGGAUUGUGCUCAGAAUUGUGGUUCUUGCUUUGAAGGUGAGAAGUGAUUUCGAUGCCCAAUUUAUUGCACGCCGUCAACAAACUCAAUCUUGUUUGGAGCGAGGGGAUUCAAUGUCCCAGGAAGAAGCGAUGACCUCUAGACUUUCCCAGAUGAAAUCAUCAAUUUGUUGAAAAUGAAAGAUUAUUGCGAAUAAAACAAUUUAUCUUAUGCACUUGACAUUUUUUCACAGGGAAGUUUGCGAUUUUUCCUCGAAAGAAUCUUCUUCUCUCACACUCAAAUCUAAUGUUCAACCAGGUUUAACAACUUGGAUCUACAUGAAGAUACAUCAACGAGAAAGUCACUAUUAGAUAAAUUUUGAUAAAAAUCGAAUAGGAUAUUCACCCAAAAUGGGUUUCAAACUUCAAACAAAAAACUUUUUCGUAUAAAUCGAAUGAUUCUCACAAAAACUACCUUCAUGUUGAUUUUCGAAAUACUUCACAUUAGAACUCGAAUCCUAAUACACGUGUAUGUGUGUGUGUGUGACACCAACAGAAGAACAAAAAUUUCUCAUUGAAAAAAAAACAAAACAAAAAAAAAACUGCAAUCCAUGAUUCUGGUAUUAACGGCUCAUCCUCAAAUCACAUAUAUCACACACACACACCUCUUGAUCUCUCUUCCUAUCAGGCAAACAGAUAACGAGUGCUUGGCUGAGCCGCCACCAAAUUGUCAAUGUUUUGAUAUAAAACAGAAAAACAAACUAGCUAUAAUGUAACAUACAGCAUAGAGUCUCCAUAAUUUCGAUAAUUUCGAGGUUUCGAGGGAAACCGACACAAUCUCCUUAUUUGAAUAACGCCUGGUAUGCGCUCCUAUCUCUCUGUCCACACUUUCUCAUCUAUGCGUAUAUAUAUAUAACCUAGGGGUUUUCUUCUUUUUUAUAUAUGUAGUCAUAAUAUAUAAGCAAAUAAUCGAACUCGUUCGCGUUCAUUCAUUCUUUUGUUUUUUCUUCAUUCCUCGCAAACACCCUUAUUAUUUACUCUUGCUUCUCUCACCUGACAUAGAUUAUAGUUAUCAUUAUUAGUUUUUAGUGUGUAUGUGUGUAAUACAUUGUUGAUGGUGUAUGUAUGUAUUGUAGGUGUUGGUAAGCACAAAACUGCAACAGCGACCUUCUUCUAGAGUGUUUGUGUGUGCCUUCCUAAUAGUAUUUAGUAGUUUCCCUAGCAGAACGCAUCGACUCCUCGUUUGUCCAGCUGUCCGAGUAGUUGCAUUGGAGGGGACGACGACUCAACGUCUAUUCGUUCACAAGAGCGACAAGUCUGGAAGAACCGAAGAAAUAGCAAUUAACGUUCAUGCGUGAGGAUUAAACAUAGGGCCCUAUUCCAAAAAGCGAGUCGAGGAGACGAGCGCUCGUCCCGUAUGUUUUGGUAUUCCAGAUGACGAGCUCGACAAAAAAAACAGAAGAGUAACUCGUCUGACUCGACGAAAACAAAAGAGAAACUCGUCUGACUCGACGGAUUAAAAUCCAGUGUCUGAACUGUCAGCCCGACGAACUGAGUUUGUUUCGAUCAAGGUGUGUUUAUAUAAAUAAGUUUGUAAAUUAAUGAAUUGCUGUUACAAGUGGUCUUCAAAGAAAAGUGUUAUUCUGAAUAACAUACCGAGAAUGGUAGCAAAAUAUUGGUAUGAUUCGAUGCAAGCGGUAAGGCUGUUCAAUCAGAUGAAGAAAAUAGCUGUCAGCAACGCUAUUAAAAAAGCUUUUAUUCGGAUAUAUAAAACUGCACUGGAAGACUGGGAUGGCCAUUGUGAACUACAACAUCGACCAAUACACUCACCAUCAAGAGCAGAUACUAAAACCUAUCCUGCAGAAAUUGAGCAGUUUCACUUCUCAGUUAAGCAGUUAUCCUAUGUGCGACAAAUGCCACCAAGAGUUCUUAACCGUCAACAACAUUUCCGAGAUGGAGCCAGAGUUAUUGAUUGAUGGCCACUAGCUGUCAAACAAUGAUAACAUCUCCGAAACUAAUCAAGAGACAAAAUGAAAAAUUCUUAUAUCAGAAAAAUAGACGAAGAAGAAAACAACAUCCUAAUAAUUCCGGCUGCAAGAAAAAGUAGUUUGGAUGCUCCGCAAAAGAAAAUCCAUCAUAAAAGUAGAAAAGCCUCGCGGACGGAGAUUUGAUGAAAUACCACAUACGGUUACACACAGAUAGUUUUUGAUGUUUUUCAUUUUGUAAACAUUGACAAAUAAUCUAUUUCAGGAAAAAAAAUCAUUAAAAUUUGAAAAACGUUGAAAUUUGAAAUACGAACUCAAAUUGCAAGUUGGAACUCAUUCGAGUUGAUUAAAACGAGGUCUAUUCAAUAAUUCAUUCAGAUUUCAUUCACAUUAUCCGAAGACUUUUAACACUCUACAACAUAACCCCGCCUUUAGACGGGCUUCACGGAUUUUUUUUUUAAAUUAUAUUUCAAAUUAAAAUCCCCACUAGAAAUCUUUAGAAUACUUUUAUCUAUCACACAUACACAUUUUUGCAUGAAAAGGCAACAGUAUACGGGUUUGUUACCGCUACCACUAAAACUCUACAGAUUAAAUGAUUAAAUGAGAUUUUUCCCAUUCGAGAAAUGCGGGAAAAAGUCGGGAAUCAAAAUACUUCAGGAAAAAUGCGGGAAAAAGUAGGGAAUUGUUCCACGAAGUCGGGAUUUUUUUUGCGCAGUGUUUUUUUCGGCUCUCUGAAAAGUUACUGCAUGUGUUUUAGCGCAUUUCGACUUUCUAAGCAGUGUGGAUCUUUGUUUUUCGAAAAAUCCUGUCGACGAGGUAAGGAAACAAGAGAAGAAUAAGCUCAAGGAAAGCCAUCCAAACUUUAAACGGAGUUUUGCAUCAGUUUUCCGGUCAAAGAUGUACGAGAUUGUCGCACAUGCUAUGGAAUAUAGGCUGCUGGAACUAAAAUUGAUUUUUUGUGUUACGGCAGCAUCGACAGUUAGAUGGUUUUUGCGUGAAUGUCAGAUAGAGGCACCGAUGGUUCCUUUCCUUUUCGAUGACCUAACGAGACUUAUGAUACCUGUUAUGGAGAAAAUUAUGAAAUCCGAACGACUGAAAGUGAAAUCUAAAUCACCUCACAGAAACUAUUCUACUGCUACCUGGAAGUAUUAAAACUGGAUUUGCAGCGAAAUCCGCAAUCAAAACAGCAAGGAAUUCCGCAAAAUAUCCGAUGAAGGUGUCCUAAUAUUUCGUACCAGCUAUCGUGAGUUCUACUGUGGAUUUUUAAAGAAAUUGUUCAUACAAUCCCCUUUGACAUAUCGCACUCGUUAC